rnacentral:lncRNA from 1 species
AUACCAAUUAAGUAUUUUCUUGACAUGGGCCUGUGUUCCAGGCCAAUCUAUGGCAACCUGGAUGAGAAAAAAACCUCGAGGAGCCAGGAACAGGCUCUGGCACCCCUGGCACUACCCAAGUGGAUUUCCAUGCAGAAAGGAUGUUGGUGGCCCUGGUGACCUGUGGAGACAUGGCUAGAUCCACCCUCCA